rnacentral:misc_RNA from 1 species
GAAAUGCGAUAAGUAGUGUGAAUUGCAGAAUUCAGUGAAUCAUCGAAUCUUUGAACGCACAUUGCGCCCCUUGGUAUUCCAUGGGGCAUGCCUGUUCGAGCGUCAUUUGUACCCUCAAGCUCUGCUUGGUGUUGGGUGUUUGUCCCGUCUCCGCGCGUGGACUCGCCCCAAAGUGAUUGGCAGCCGGCGUACUGGUCCCGGAGCGCAGCACAUGUCGCGCAAACGAGUGCCUUGGUACGGCGGCGUCCAUAAGCCCCUCUCUCACGCUCUUUACCUCGGAUCAGGUAGGGAUACCCGCUGAACUUAAGC